rnacentral:rRNA from 1 species
UACGUAGGGGGCUAGCGUUAUCCGGAAUUACUGGGCGUAAAGGGUGCGUAGGUGGUUUCUUAAGUCAGAGGUGAAAGGCUACGGCUCAACCGUAGUAAGCCUUUGAAACUGAGAAACUUGAGUGCAGGAGAGGAGAGUAGAAUUCCUAGUGUAGCGGUGAAAUGCGUAGAUAUUAGGAGGAAUACCAGUUGCGAAGGCGGCUCUCUGGACUGUAACUGACACUGAGGCACGAAAGCGUGGGGAGCAAACAGGAUUAGAUACCCGUGUAGUCCCU